GUCAGGGUGGCCGAGUGGUCUAAGGCGCCAGAUUUAAGCUCUGGUCCCGCGUUGCUCUGCGGGGCGUGGGUUCGAAUCCCACUCCUGACA